UAAAGUUUCCACCUAUUUUUCUAUUUAGCAGCUUGUCCUGCUCUCACCAGCACUGCAGUGCAGGGCCUGUUUUCCAUGGCUUCUGACUUCCAACACAGGUCAUACCCAGUGUCCAUCUAGCGCAGUGACCUCCUGGUAGCAAUGUCCAUGCAAAGAACUAUUGAAGAAAGUAAGAAAAGGGCAAAUACACCAAGUCUCUGCAACCUCCCAGCUUCUAGGUCAAACAUGCUGAGUACCUCCUGUGGACUUUGAGAGCUGUUCCUCUGGAAAUCAGGUCACUGAUGUGAUGCUGGAAGGAGAAAGCACAAGGAAAAAGAAGUACUCUGAUUUUCAAACACAAGUGUUUGUACAGUUUAGGGAAGAGAAUAAAAUGAAUAAAUAAACCUGUUUUAAAAUACCUUGU